rnacentral:rRNA from 1 species
UUGACCUCAAAUCAGGUAGGGCUACCCGCUGAACU